AUGUUGCUGAGGAGUCCCACAAUAGGACGAAACGGCCGUCGAAU
rnacentral:hammerhead_ribozyme from 1 species